GAUGAACGCUGGCGGCGUGCCUAAUACAUGCAAGUCGAGCGAACAGACGAGAAGCUUGCUCUCUUACCGUUAGCGGCGGACGGGUGAGUAACACGUGGAUAACCAACUUAUAAGACUGGGAUAAUUUCGGGAAACCGGAGCUAAUACCGGAUAAUAUAUUCAACGGCUGGGUUCAAUAGUUAAUGAGGGUUUGCCUGUCACUAUUAGAUGGUUCCGCGCCGCAUUAGCUAGUUGGUAAGGUAACGGCUUACCAAGGCAACGAUGCGUAGCCGACCUGAGAGGGUGAUCGGCCACACUGGAACUGAGACACGGUCCAGACUCCUACGGGAGGCAGCAGUAGGGAAUCUUCCGCAAUGGGCGAAAGCCUGACGGAGCAACGCCGCGUGAGUGAUGAAGGUCUUCGGAUCGUAAAACUCUGUUAUUAGGGAAGAACAAAUGUGUAAGUAACUAUGCACGUCUUGACGGUACCUAAUCAGAAAGCCACGGCUAACUACGUG
rnacentral:rRNA from 1 species